GGGUUGUGAGGUUAAGCGACUAAGCGUACACGGUGGAUGCCCUGGCAGUCAGAGGCGAUGAAGGACGUGCUAAUCUGCGAAAAGCGCCGGCGAGGUGAUAUGAACCCUUGACCCGGCGAUGUCCGAAUGGGGAAACCCAGUGCAAUCCGUUGCACUAUCGUUAACUGAAUACAUAGGUUAACGAGGCGAACCGGGGGAACUGAAACAUCUAAGUACCCCGAGGAAAAGAAAUCAACCGAGAUUCCCCCAGUAGCGGCGAGCGAACGGGGAGCAGCCCGGAGUCUGAAUCAGCUUGUGUGUUAGUGGAACGGUCUGGAAAGUCCGACGGUACAGGGUGAUAGUCCCGUACACGAAAAUGCACAUGCUGUGAACUCGAAGAGUAGGGCGGGACACGUGGUAUCCUGUCUGAAUAUGGGGGGACCAUCCUCCAAGGCUAAAUACUCCUGACUGACCGAUAGUGAACCAGUACCGUGAGGGAAAGGCGAAAAGAACCCCGGCGAGGGGAGUGAAAAAGAACCUGAAACCGUGUACGUACAAGCAGUGGGAGCCUCUUUAUGGGGUGACUGCGUACCUUUUGUAUAAUGGGUCAGCGACUUAUAUUCUGUAGCAAGGUUAACCGUAUAGGGGAGCCGAAGGGAAACCGAGUCUUAACUGGGCGUUAAGUUGCAGGGUAUAGACCCGAAACCCGGUGAUCUAGCCAUGGGCAGGUUGAAGGUUGGGUAACACUAACUGGAGGACCGAACCGACUAAUGUUGAAAAAUUAGCGGAUGACCUGUGGCUGGGGGUGAAAGGCCAAUCAAACCGGGAGAUAGCUGGUUCUCCCCGAAAGCUAUUUAGGUAGCGCCUCGUGAAUUCAUCUUCGGGGGUAGAGCACUGUUUCGGCUAGGGGGCCAUCCCGGCUUACCAACCCGAUGCAAACUACGAAUACCGAAGAAUGUUAUCACGGGAGACACACGGCGGGUGCUAACGUCCGUCGUGAAGAGGGAAACAACCCAGACCGCCAGCUAAGGUCCCAAAGUCAUGGUUAAGUGGGAAACGAUGUGGGAAGGCACAGACAGCCAGGAUGUUGGCUUAGAAGCAGCCAUCAUUUAAAGAAAGCGUAAUAGCUCACUGGUCGAGUCGGCCUGCGCGGAAGAUGUAACGGGGCUAAACCAUGCACCGAAGCUGCGGCAGCGACACUAUGUGUUGUUGGGUAGGGGAGCGUUCUGUAAGCCGUUGAAGGUGUGCUGUGAGGCAUGCUGGAGGUAUCAGAAGUGCGAAUGCUGACAUAAGUAACGAUAAAGCGGGUGAAAAGCCCGCUCGCCGGAAGACCAAGGGUUCCUGUCCAACGUUAAUCGGGGCAGGGUGAGUCGACCCCUAAGGCGAGGCCGAAAGGCGUAGUCGAUGGGAAACAGGUUAAUAUUCCUGUACUUGGUGUUACUGCGAAGGGGGGACGGAGAAGGCUAUGUCAGCCGGGCGACGGUUGUCCCGGUUUAAGCAUGUAGGCGGAGGUUCCAGGUAAAUCCGGUACCUUUUAACGCUGAGGUGUGAUGACGAGGCACUACGGUGCUGAAGUGAUAAAUGCCCUGCUUCCAGGAAAAGCCUCUAAGCAUCAGGUAACACGAAAUCGUACCCCAAACCGACACAGGUGGUCAGGUAGAGAAUACCAAGGCGCUUGAGAGAACUCGGGUGAAGGAACUAGGCAAAAUGGUGCCGUAACUUCGGGAGAAGGCACGCUGAUGUGUAGGUGAAGCCCCUGCGGGCGGAGCUGAAAUCAGUCGAAGAUACCAGCUGGCUGCAACUGUUUAUUAAAAACACAGCACUGUGCAAACACGAAAGUGGACGUAUACGGUGUGACGCCUGCCCGGUGCCGGAAGGUUAAUUGAUGGGGUUAGCGGCAACGCGAAGCUCUUGAUCGAAGCCCCGGUAAACGGCGGCCGUAACUAUAACGGUCCUAAGGUAGCGAAAUUCCUUGUCGGGUAAGUUCCGACCUGCACGAAUGGCGUAAUGAUGGCCAGGCUGUCUCCACCCGAGACUCAGUGAAAUUGAACUCGCUGUGAAGAUGCAGUGUACCCGCGGCAAGACGGAAAGACCCCGUGAACCUUUACUAUAGCUUGACACUGAACACUGGUCCUUGAUGUGUAGGAUAGGUGGGAGGCUUUGAAGCGUGGACGCCAGUCUGCGUGGAGCCAACCUUGAAAUACCACCCUUUAAUGGCUGGUGUUCUAACGU
rnacentral:rRNA from 1 species